AAAUAAGGAACAAAUGUUGGAAACAACAUUCCAACUCUCCCAGAAUCUGAAGUGACACAUUAUGAAACUGGUGGAAGACAAGACAUUUCUUGGAAUUGAGCUGGACACCCAAAAUCACCCCAUUUCUUAGGCAGCCAAAAGUCUCCUGCAGCCCUGCUGAAUCAUUUCAUCCCGUAUAUCCUGCUUCACUCUGGAUCUAGCUGGUGCGUGACAGGAGAUGGAGAAGAGGGAGGACACAUGAAAGUCCCCAUCUUAUUCAGCCAGGAAGCAAGUGAAGCCAAAUGAACAGCCAUAGGAGACAGGAGGUCCUGGUUCUUCUCCCAUGGAGUAUAGCAAUCUAAGGAUGUUUGAGGGUCAUCAUUAGCCCCAUUACCUUCUCUGCUGCUUGGAGGUCAUUUCUGCCUUUUGUUCUUGAUCCUGGCAGGGAUGCUGUGCCAUUUGUUCUCAG
rnacentral:antisense_RNA from 1 species